CAUUAAAUGACUGAAGAAAGUAAGUAUUGAUUUUUUAAAUCAAUUAUAGUAGUUAUAACACCUACUUUUAAUGA
rnacentral:tRNA from 1 species